rnacentral:rRNA from 1 species
UACGUAGGGUGCGAGCGUUGUCCGGAAUUACUGGGCGUAAAGAGCUCGUAGGCGGCUUGUCGCGUCGUCUGUGAAAACCGGCGGCUCAACGGCGGGCUUGCAGUCGAUACGGGCAGGCUGGAGUUCGGUAGGGGAGACUGGAAUUCCUGGUGUAGCGGUGAAAUGCGUAGAUAUCUGGAGGAAUACCGGUGGCGAAGGCGGCAUCCUGGACCGACAUUGACGCUGAGGAGCGAAAGCUAGGGGAGCAAACGGG